AUUGAACGCUGGCGGAAUGCUUUACACAUGCAAGUCGAACGAUGAAGCCUAGCUUGCUAGGUCGAUUAGUGGCGAACGGGUGAGUAAUAUAUCGGAACGUAUCCAAUAAUGGGGGAUAACUAGUCGAAAGAUUGGCUAAUACCGCAUACGUCCGACGGGAGAAAGCUGGGGAUCGUAAGAACUGGCGUUAAUGGAGCGGCCGAUAUCUGAUUAGCUAGUUGGUGAGGUAAAGGCUCACCAAGGCGACGAUCAGUAGCUGGUCUGAGAGGACGACCAGCCACACUGGAACUGAGACACGGUCCAGACUCCUACGGGAGGCAGCAGUGGGGAAUUUUGGACAAUGGGCGAAAGCCUGAUCCAGCCAUUCCGCGUGAGUGAAGAAGGCCUUCGGGUUGUAAAGCUUUUUCGCAAGGGAAGAACACUUACUUAAUAACACUAAGUGAGGUUGACGGUACCUUGAUAAGAAGCACCGGCUAACUACGUGCCAGCCGCCGCAGUAAAAC
rnacentral:rRNA from 1 species